rnacentral:piRNA from 1 species
AGUUGCUGGGAAUUGAACUUAGG